rnacentral:hammerhead_ribozyme from 1 species
AUUCAGUUGACGAGUCUCAAAUAGGACGAAACGCUCGUCGUGGAU